rnacentral:misc_RNA from 1 species
GAUGAAGAACGUAGCGAAAUGCGAUAACUAAUGUGAAUUGCAGAAUUCAGUGAAUCAUCGAGUCUUUGAACGCACAUUGCGCCCCCUGGUAUUCCAGGGGGCAUGCCUGUCCGAGCGUCAUUGCUGCCCUCAAGCACGGCUUGUGUGUUGGGCUCCGUCCCCCCGGGGACGGGUCCGAAAGGCAGCGGCGGCACCGAGUCCGGUCCUCGAGCGUAUGGGGCUUUGUCACCCGCUCUGUAGGCCCGGCCGGCGCCAGCCGACAACCAAUCAUCCUUUUUUCAGGUUGACCUCGGAUCAGGUAGGGAUACCCGCUGAACUUAAGCAUAUCAAUAAGCGGAGGA